rnacentral:rRNA from 1 species
GUGGGGAAUAUUAGGCAAUGGGCGAAAGCCUGACCUAGCAACGCCGCGUGAAGGAAGAAGGCCUUCGGGUUGUAAACUUCUUUUAUGAGGGACGAAGGACGUGACGGUACCUCAUGAAUAAGCCACGGCUAACUACGUGCCAGCAGCCGCGGUAAUACGUAGGCGGCAAGCGUUGUCCGGAAUUAUUGGGCGUAAAGAGCAUGUAGGCGGCUAUUUAAGUCUGUCGUGAAAAUGCGGGGCUUAACCCCGUAUGGCGGUAGAAACUGGAUAGCUUGAGCGCAGGAGAGGAAAGGGGAAUUCCCAGUGUAGCGGUGAAAUGCGUAGAUAUUGGGAGGAACACCAGUGGCGAAGGCGCCUUUCUGGACUGUGACUGACGCUGAGAUGCGAAAGCCAGGGGAGCGAACGGGAUUAGAAACCCCAGUAGUCC